GAUGAACGCUGGCGGCGUGCCUAAUACAUGCAAGUCGAGCGAACAGACGAGGAGCUUGCUCCUCUGACGUUAGCGGCGGACGGGUGAGUAACACGUGGAUAACCUACCUAUAAGACUGGGAUAACUUCGGGAAACCGGAGCUAAUACCGGAUAAUAUAUUCAACCGCAUGGUUCAAUAGUGAAAGACGGUUUUGCUGUCACUUAUAGCUGGAUCCGCGCCGCAUUAGCUAGUUGGUAAGGUAACGGCUUACCAAGGCAACGAUGCGUAGCCGACCUGAGAGGGUGAUCGGCCACACUGGAACUGAGACACGGUCCAGACUCCUACGGGAGGCAGCAGUAGGGAAUCUUCCGCAAUGGGCGAAAGCCUGACGGAGCAACGCCGCGUGAGUGAUGAAGGUCUUCGGAUCGUAAAACUCUGUUAUUAGGGAAGAACAAAUGUGUAAGUAACUAUGCACGUCUUGACGGUACCUAAUCAGAAAGCCACGGCUAACUACGUG
rnacentral:rRNA from 1 species